GGGAGCUUGCUCCUGGAUUCAGCGGCGGACGGCUGAGUAAUGCCUAGGAAUCUGCCUGGUAGUGGGGGAUAACGUCCGGAAACGGGCGCUAAUACCGCAUACGUCCUGAGGGAGAAAGUGGGGGAUCUUCGGACCUCACGCUAUCAGAUGAGCCUAGGUCGGAUUAGCUAGUUGGUGGGGUAAAGGCCUACCAAGGCGACGAUCCGUAACUGGUCUGAGAGGAUGAUCAGUCACACUGGAACUGAGACACGGUCCACACUAAUACGGGAGGCAGCAGUGGGGAAUAUUGGACAAUGGGCGAAAGCCUGAUCCAGCCAUGCCGCGUGUGUGAAGAAGGUCUUCGGAUUGUAAAGCACUUUAAGUUGGGAGGAAGGGCAGUAAGUUAAUACCUUGCUGUUUUGACGUUACCAACAGAAUAAGCACCGGCUAACUUCGUGCCAGCAGCCGCGGUAAUACGAAGGGUGCAAGCGUUAAUCGGAAUUACUGGGCGUAAAGCGCGCGUAGGUGGUUCAGCAAGUUGGAUGUGAAAUCCCCGGACUCAACCUGGGAACUGCAUCCAAAACUACUGAGCUAGAGUACGGUAGAGGGUGGUGGAAUUUCCUGUGUAGCGGUGAAAUGCGUAGAUAUAGGAAGGAACACCAGUGGCGAACGCGACCACCUGGACUGAUACUGACACUGAGGUGCGAAAGCGUGNGGAGCA
rnacentral:rRNA from 1 species